GGCUCUGCCCCAGGUUUUUCCAGUGCUUUGUUGUCAGAGCCUGUUGUGGCAACGCCUGCCCAAGUGCUGAGUGAUGCACAGAAGGGGAGAAGGAGGUGCGGAAGGACAGGAACCAGGAGGGCAGGAGGCGGGCUCAGCUGCUGGAGGAGCCCCGGCCC